UACGAAGGGGGCGAGCGUUGUUCGGAUUUACUGGGCGUAAAGGGCGCGUAGGCGGCGGGUCAAGUCGGGUGUGAAAGCCCCGGGCUCAACCUGGGAAUUGCGCUCGAGACUGGUCUGCUUGAGUUCGGGAGAGGAGAGUGGAAUUCCCAGUGUAGAGGUGAAAUUCGUAGAUAUUGGGAAGAACACCGGUGGCGAAGGCGGCUCUCUGGACCGAGACUGACGCUGAGGCGCGAAAGCGUGGGGAGCAAACAGG
rnacentral:rRNA from 1 species